rnacentral:misc_RNA from 1 species
GCGCCACGCACCGCGCGCCACGCUGGAGGCUCUACGGCGCCACUCGCGGCAGAUAGCCGCGCGCCGCACUCGCCGCGUGCAGUUUACGGAGCGGACGCGGGAUGGCGCGCGCAGCGGCGACGGCGCCGAGAGCGGGGGAUCGGAGAUGUCGGGCGGGAGCGGGGGCGGCGGCAGCGUCGACGUGGACGCGCGCCGCCCGUCCACGUGCCGCGUCGAGCUCGGCAACCUGCUGGCGCCUGAGCCGCGCCCUCUCGAUAACAAAGUCAAGCGACAUAGCAUACAUGGCAUGACAGAGGAGGAGAAUGUGGUGCGACCACAUCAAGAGAUGGCGGUGCUGUCGUUGGAGGAGAAGAAGUACCUGCUGGGCGUGGAGCGGGGCGACGUGGCAGGCACGCGGCGUGUGCUGCAGCGUGCGCGCGACACCGGCCACGUGAACGUGGACUGCGUGGACCCGCUGGGCCGCUCCGCGCUGCUCAUGGCCAUCGACAACGAGAACCUCGAGAUGGUGGAGCUGCUGCUUGAGUUCGGCGUGGAGACGCGCGAUGCGCUGCUGCACGCCAUCUCUGAGGAGUUCGUUGAGGCGGUCGAGGCGUUGCUCGACCACGAGGAGCGCACGCGCAAGCCCGGGGAACUACAUAGUUGGGAGGCACUACCACCGGAGACAGCAACGUUCACGGCGGACAUAACGCCCCUGAUACUGGCGGCGCAUCGCGACAGCUACGAGAUCAUAAAGCUGCUGCUGGACCGCGGCGCAGGGCUGCCGGUGCCGCACGACGUGCGCUGCGGCUGUGACGAGUGCGUGCGCUCGCGCCGCGAGGACUCGCUGCGCCACUCGCGCUCGCGCAUUAAUGCCUAUCGAGCGCUCGCUUCGCCCUCUCUCAUCGCACUCUCCUCCAAAGACCCCAUUCUCACUGCAUUCGAGCUGUCGUGGGAAUUGAGGCGGCUCUCCGCGCUCGAGCACGAGUUCAAGACUGAAUACCAGGAGCUGCGCGCCCAGUGCCAGGAGUUCGCCACGGCACUUCUCGACCACACGCGUACCUCGCACGAGCUGCAGGUGUUGCUGAAUCAUGAAACUGGCUCGCCGCAGGCGCCGCUUAUCGAGCCCGGGGCGCCGGAGCGGAUGCGAUUGUCCAGGUUGAAGCUCGCAAUCAAAUUGAGGCAAAAGAAGUUCGUAGCGCACCCGAAUGUGCAGCAGCUGCUGGCGUCGAUCUGGUACGAGAGUGUGCCGGGCUUCCGACGCAAGAACAUGCUGCUGCAGGCGGCGGAGAUGGUGCGCAUCGGCGCCAUGUUUCCGCUGUACUCGCUCGCUUACAUUGCCGCGCCGCACUCCGCUGCCGGCCGCACGCUACGCAAGCCCUUCAUCAAGUUCCUCUGCCAUUCCGCUAGUUACUUCAUGUUUCUAUUCCUGCUGAUCCUGGCGUCGCAGCGCAUCGAGACGGCGGCGGGCGGACUGCUGUGGGGCGCGGCGCCGGGCGCCCAGCAGCCAAUGUCGCGGCGCGGCGCCCCGCCCUCGCUCGUCGAGUGGCUCAUCCUCGCCUGGGUCAGCGGUCUGAUUUGGAGUGAAGUAAAACAAUUAUGGGAUAUGGGGCUGCGGGAGUACGUGCACGACAUGUGGAACGUGAUAGACUUCGUCACCAACUCGCUGUUCGGCGAGAGAUGGCGCAGGGGCUACAGUGGAACCAACCGCGCGAGAACUGGGACGCUUGGGACCCCAUGCUGCUCUCUGAAGGUCUAUUCUCGGCGGCGAAUAUAUUCAGUAGUCUUAAACUGGUGUACAUCUUCAGCGUCAACCCGCACCUUGGGCCGCUGCAGGUGUCACUGAGCCGUAUGGUGCUCGACAUAUUGAAGUUCUUCGUGCUGGAUAUACUUGUAAUCUUCGCUUUUUCUUGUGGACUAAAUCAGUUAUUAUGGUAUUACGCUGACAUGGAGAAGAAACGCUGCAGUACUGGUAACUCAUCAUUGACCCCCAACGGGACACUGCCGGACCCAGAUGCUUGUAUUGUUUGGCGUCGAUUCGCUAA